GCAGCGGGAAGCAGACUUGCACCGAAGCCCUGGUAUACCGGAGUACACCACAGAGAACACAGCAAGCAAGUGCAUCUGAGGAUGCCCCCCUUCGUGCCAUCCCCAGCCGACACACUCCACCCCCUCGUGCUGCUCCUGUGGAGUGUCAUUUGGUGCACCCGUUGCAUGCUCUGUGGUACACCGGUGUACCCUCAAUUAUGUAGACCGACCCCGCCCCUCAGGCUCCCCCACCUGCUGUCUUACCGUGCACGGAAACCGUGGGCUGGGCAUGGCAGCUCGUCCUGCAGCCGACGGGGAUGGCACAGCAGCCGCCUCACCGCCACGGGCGUCCUCCUCCUGCAGGCCGCGUCACACAGAGUGAUGCACAGGAGGCAUGACACGUUCGCCAGGUUGAUCGACGGGCAGUCAUGGCAGCGGGAAGCAGACUUGCACCGAAGCCCAGGUGUACCGGAGUACACCACAGAGAACACAGCAAGCAAGUGCAUCUGAGGAUGCCCCCCUUCGUGCCAUCCCCAGCCGACACACUCCACCCCCUUGUGCUGCUCCUGUGGAGUGUCAUUUGGUGCACCCGUUGCAUGCUCUGUGGUACACCGGUGUACCCUCAAUUAUGUAGACCGACCCCGCCCCUCAGGCUCCC
rnacentral:lncRNA from 1 species